rnacentral:lncRNA from 1 species
GGAGUAAAUGCGUGGCACGAUCAUGCUUUGAUAGUUUAUUUCGUUCUUGCUUUAUUUUUUUAUUUUUUAUUUAUUUCGAAUUCCAUAAUAUGUUAAAAAUAUAUAUUUUAAAUUUUAAAUUUUAAAUUUUAAUUUUAAUAUACAUGAUUAUAAAAAAAUUGUAAAAUUGUAGAAAAAACUAUGUUAGAUUUUGACAGGACAAAACAUCUCUAUGCUGGAAUGAGAAAAAAGAAAGAACAUUCUAACAUGCUUUCCUUUGCCGGGACAUCAAAUUGACCAACCAACUAAUCGAUCUCGACUUAAACCGGAUUCAAAAACUUAUCAAAACCAAAAAAAAACUAAAAAUUAAUUGCUUAUUAAUAUAUAUAAAAAAAA